rfam:Lactobacillus crispatus ST1 complete genome, strain ST1
GUAACAGUGAUGUUAUGGAUGGAGGAAGUGGCUAGCGAGUUUUCCUAGCCUACGUACAGAAACCUGGUUAGGCCAAAUGGCGGAUAAGGCUGCGAUACAAGUCGAAGUCCAACAGGCAAUCGCUCAAGUACUAAUGAGGAUCUAUGAUCCUCAC